AGUGAACGCUGGCGGUAGGCCUAACACAUGCAAGUCGAACGGCAGCACAGUAAGAGCUUGCUCUUACGGGUGGCGAGUGGCGGACGGGUGAGGAAUACAUCGGAAUCUACUUUUUCGUGGGGGAUAACGUAGGGAAACUUACGCUAAUACCGCAUACGACCUACGGGUGAAAGCAGGGGAUCUUCGGACCUUGCGCGAUUGAAUGAGCCGAUGUCGGAUUAGCUAGUUGGCGGGGUAAAGGCCCACCAAGGCGACGAUCCGUAGCUGGUCUGAGAGGAUGAUCAGCCACACUGGAACUGAGACACGGUCCAGACUCCUACGGGAGGCAGCAGUGGUGAAUAUUGGACAAUGGGCGCAAGCCUGAUCCAGCCAUACCGCGUGGGUGAAGAAGGCCUUCGGGUUGUAAAGCCCUUUUGUUGGGAAGGAAAAGCAGCAGGUUAAUACCCCGCUGUUCUGACGGUACCCAAAGAAUAAGCACCGGCUAACUUCGUG
rnacentral:rRNA from 1 species